rnacentral:RNase_P_RNA from 1 species
GAAGCGCGCCAGACCGCCGCUGGUGCAAUCUGGGAAACCAGGCACUGGAGGAACGUCCGGACUGCACAGGACAGCGUAGCAGCUAACGGCUGCCCACCGUGAGGUGAGGAUCAGAGCAACAGAGACGAGUCCCGGGGGAGUGCCGCAAGGCAAACCACCGGGGGUGAAACGGGCAAUCUCUACGCGCAGCAAUACCAAGUAGGCCAACGUUGAUGUGGUUCCGCAGAGUUGGCGGGUAGGUAGCACCGAGCCGUGGUGGCGACACCCGGCCCAGAUUAAUGGCGGUCACGCUGCGGGAGCCCGCAAGGGUUUCCGCAGUGCACAGAAUCCGGCUUAUCGGCGUGCUUCACAC